rnacentral:rRNA from 1 species
GACGAACGCUGGCGGCGUGCUUAACACAUGCAAGUCGAACGGAAAGGCCCUGCUUUUGUGGGGUGCUCGAGUGGCGAACGGGUGAGUAACACGUGAGUAACCUGCCCUUGACUUUGGGAUAACUUCAGGAAACUGGGGCUAAUACCGGAUAGGAGCUCCUGCUGCAUGGUGGGGGUUGGAAAGUUUCGGCGGUUGGGGAUGGACUCGCGGCUUAUCAGCUUGUUGGUGGGGUAGUGGCUUACCAAGGCUUUGACGGGUAGCCGGCCUGAGAGGGUGACCGGCCACAUUGGGACUGAGAUACGGCCCAGACUCCUACGGGAGGCAGCAGUGGGGAAUAUUGCACAAUGGGCGGAAGCCUGAUGCAGCAACGCCGAGUGCGGGAUGAAGGCCUUCGGGUUGUAAACCGCUUUCGCCUGUGACGAAGCGUGAGUGACGGUAAUGGGUAAAGAAGAACCGGCUAAAUACGUG